AAAUGUGAGUUCUCCGGUCAAAUUUCCCUUAUCUCUACACCUUGUUUUCUCUUCUUUCUUUCACACUUAAAAAUGGCGAUUGGCAAAUUUCAGAGACAAAAACCAUCAUUUUUCUUCAUCGUUAAGCUUCCCCUAACCCAAUUCCUUCAUCUUCCUUUUUUUUCUCAUUCUCUCCAAUUUCAUAACAAAGAAAAGCAUCAACCUUCAUUAUUACAUUGGUUCAUAAAACCCACCUUCAAUUCCAUCAGUACAACUACAAAUGCAUCUUUCUCUCUUGUCUUUAGCUCGAUUUCACAAAACCACAUUAAAACCCUUUCGUAGUUUCACCUCCCAUGAGAUCAAUCCCUCAAAAAUGUCAUCUGAUCACCAACCGCCUAAUGAAAUGUCAAUUGGUUCCAUUCGUUAAACAACAAUUUAUCAUGUUCUUGCAGAAGAAGCGGCGAUUGACCGGAGAAGAAAACUGAAAAAAAAUGGUCAGAAAAUUCACAUUUGACCGGAGAUGCUGUCGAAGGUAAGGGACGUCGGAAAUAUCGCCAAAUGUGGAACUCAAAGCCUCCAAAAUAGGUUUUACCUGCUAUUACAUGUAAUAAUGAUAUAUUUUAACCAAAAAUACAAGUUUAAGUGUUAACAAUGCACUAAAAAAAGUAAAGUGACCAAAUAUAUACAUAGUAUAUAGUUAGUCACUCUUUCAAGUCAUCUUCUCUAAUAUAUGAAAAUACUUUUGUCA